AUUGCACGCUGGCGGCAGGCCUAACACAUGCAAGUCGAACGAGUGGCGGACGGGUGUGUUAUGUCUGGGAAACUGCCUGAGGGAGGGGGAUCACUACUGGAAACGGUAGCUAAUAACGCAUUCCAUCAGAUGUGCCCAGAUGGGAUGAGAGUGUUGGUGGGGUAACGGCGCACCAAGGCGACGAUCCCUAGUUGGUCUGAGAGGAUGACCAGCCACACUGGAACGGAGACACGGUCCAGACUCCUACGGGAGGCAGCAGUGGGGAAUAUUGCACAAUGGGCGCAAGCCUGAUGCAGCCAUGCCGCGUGUGUGAAGAAGGCCUUCGGGUUGUAAAGUACUUUCAGCGGGGAGGCGUUACCCGCAGAAGAAGCACCGGCUAACUCCGUGCCAGCAGCCGCGGUAAUUC
rnacentral:rRNA from 1 species